rnacentral:rRNA from 1 species
AACGAACGCUGGCGGCAUGCCUAACACAUGCAAGUCGAACGAGACCUUCGGGUCUAGUGGCGUACGGGUGCGUAACGCGUGGGAACCUGCCCUUAGGUUCGGAAUAACUCAGAGAAAUUUGAGCUAAUACCGGAUAAUGUCUUCGGCCCAAUGAUUUAUCGCCUUUGGAUGGGCCCGCGUAGGAUUAGCUUGUUGGUGGGGUAAUGGCCUACCAAGGCGACGAUCCUUAGCUGGUCUGAGAGGAUGAUCAGCCACACUGGGAAUGAGACACGGCCCAGACUCCUACGGGAGGCAGCAGUGGGGAAUAUUGGACAAUGGGCGAAAGCCUGAUCCAGCAAUGCCGCGUGAGUGAUGAAGGCCUUAGGGUUGUAAAGCUCUUUUACCAGGGAUGAUAAUGACAGUACCUGGAGAAUAAGCUCCGGCUAACUCCGUG